GUAUAGCAUUAUACCGCGAAACUGCGAAUGGCUCAUUAAAUCAGUUAUCGUUUAUUUGAUAGUACCUUACUACUUGGAUAACCGUGGUAAUUCUAGAGCUAAUACAUGCUAAAAAUCCCGACUUCGGAAGGGAUGUAUUUAUUAGAUUAAAAACCAAUGCCCUCUGGGCUCUCUGGUGAUUCAUGAUAACUUCUCGAAUCGCACGGCCUUGCGCCGGCGAUGGUUCAUUCAAAUUUCUGCCCUAUCAACUUUCGAUGGUUGGGUCUUGGCCCACCAUGGUGACAACGGGUAACGGAGGGUUAGGGCUCGACCCCGGAGAAGGAGCCUGAGAGACGGCUACUACAUCCAAGGAAGGCAGCAGGCGCGCAAAUUAUCCAAUCCCGACACGGGGAGAUAGUGACGAGAAAUACUGAUACAGGGUUCUUUUGGAUCUUGUAAUUGGAAUGAGUACAAUUUAAAUCUCUUAACGAGGAACAAUUGGAGGGCAAGUCUGGUGCCAGCAGCCGCGGUAAUUCCAGCUCCAAUAGCGUAUAUUAAAGUUGUUGCGGUUAAAAAGCUCGUAGUUGAACCUUGGGCCCGACCGGCCGGUCCGCCUCACCGCGUGCACUGGUUCGGUUGGGCCUUUCCCUCUGGGGAACCGCAUGUCCUUCACUGGGCGUGUCGGGGAACCAGGACUUUUACUUUGAGGAAAACAGAGUGUUCAAAGCAGGCCUAUGCUCGGAUACGUUAGCAUGGAAUAAUAGAAUAGGACGAAGGUUCUAUUUUGUUGGUUUCUAGGACCGUCGUAAUGAUUAAUAGGGACAGUCGGGGGCAUCAGUAUUCAAUUGUCAGAGGUGAAAUUCUUGGAUUUAUUGAAGACUAACUACUGCGAAAGCAUUUGCCAAGGAUGUUUUCAUUAAUCAGGAACGAAAGUAUGGGGAUCGAAGACGAUCAGAUACCGUCGUAGUCUAUACCAUAAACUAUGCGAACUAGGGAUCGGACGAUGUUAUUUUUUGACUCGUUCGGCACCUUACACGAAAGUACAAGUU
rnacentral:rRNA from 1 species